AAGGUAAACUCCGGAAAGCAGAGCCACAUUGAGCUGUUGCCACAGCAUGCGAGAACCGAAGGACCUCCGUGGGUCACCUCGGGACUGGAGGCCAAGGAAACGCAGCGUUGGAUGCUGGGGCGGGGCAUCAAGGCCAGACUUGGUUCCUUAAACUUUGACUUGAGUCUAAGUGCUGGCGAAGGAGCACUCGAUCCCAAAAUACCGGGGCUUGGAGUUGUGCAGAUGGCGCUCCGCUGGGGCAUCGUGUCCGUCGGCCUCAUCUCCAGCGACUUCACCACUGUGCCGGGCCCGCUGCCCCGCUCCGACCACCAGGUCUGCUCCCCUCCGGGUCCUGGGGGAACGGGCUCCUGGGUCCGGGUAGCGAGGAUCCUACACCACGGCUGUUUCCCCGCUCCCUCCUUUUCUUCUCCACCUCAGUCCUGUAGCCCUAGCCCUGGAGGGUCGGAGGGUCUUAUCCUCCGGCCGGCCGCACCUGCUCCAGCCCCGUGAGUCUGAUCCCGGCGUCCUCCGGGUGGUGGCGGUAGCGGCCCGCGAGCUGAGCCGGGCGCAGGGGUUUGCGCGGAAACACGGCGUCCCCAAGGCGUACGGCUCCCCUGAGGAGCUGGCCAAGGGCCCGAAUGUGGGUGAGUGGCGAGGGUGGCCGGCGCGUCGGCUCCGGGCUGCCCCGUAGGAAACGUGAGGCUCCCCGGGCUAGGGGCCCGCCCGAGGGGCACGAACGGAUUUGAUCUGUCGCGAUAUUCAAUCGAGUCAACCUUCCGCAUCCUUGUGCUUGCGAGGCAGGCGGUAGAACCACUGAACUAAAUCCCCGGCCCAAGUAACACUAUCUUAACAGAGUGGUGCUGCAAGAAAGAAGUUUGAGGUGUACUUCAUACUUAGAGUAUCAGGGAUCGAACACGGGACCUUGUGCUUGCAAGGCAGGCAUGGCGCCACUGAGCUAAGUCAUCUUCUACCUUAGAAGUGGCCUAUAUUGGCACUCAGCACCCUCAGCACAAGGCUUCGGUGCUGAUGUCUCUGGCAGUAGGCAAGGCUGUCCUGUGUGAGAAGCCCAUGGGUAUGAACGCUCCAGAAGUUCGCAAGAUGGUCUCAGAGGCCCAAACCCAAGGUCUCUUCCUUAUGGAGGUGAGGGCCUCAACCAACAUUCACUGUAGCACUGCUUGCCAUUACUAAACAUGGCCACCAGCAGACGUUUUUGGAGAACCAAGGCAUCUUCCACAGUCGAGAUGGCCACAGGAAUGGAGCAGGGUCAGUUGGGGUAUAGUUGAAUGUACUGGCCACACCCAUUGAGAGCACAAACCAAAGUUCAGUGCUUGCCACUCUAACAGGCCAUGACUCAAAGACAAGUUGUUGAGGCAAAGAGAAAGAGUUGUUUGGAAAGCUAGCAAACUAAAGAAGAUGGAAGCUGACAUCAACCAAGACCAUCUUGUUUAGAGGUUGCAGGGAAAAGGCUUAUCUAGGGAGUUUUGUGGAAGUAGAUCCCAGUAGGAGGGCACCAAGGUAUUUCCAAAUUCCAGAGUAGUUACAGAUUAUGGGGUCUGCUGUUUUGUGUAGGUAACUGGAUGCUCUGGGUUCUGUAAAUCUAAAGAAAGUUACUGACCCAUAAGCACAGCAUUUAGGGAGGCUGAGAUGGGGGAUCAAGUCCUGCCCAGGCAACACAACAAGACUCUGUCUUAAAUUUGUAAGAAGAGUAGGGUUGGGUGUAACUCCAUUGGAGAGAGCCCCUGGUCAAUCCCUACCACAAGGAAGAACAGAGAAAGGAAAGGAGAGAGGGAGGAAGAAAGAAAGGGAGGGAAAAAGAAAGGGAGAAAGGAGGAAAGAAAAAAGAAAUUGAGUAGGAAGUCUCACGGCUCGUCUUUUUAGUUCCUUUUCUGAGGACUAGCUAAUUCUCCAGUGUACCUGGAUAUCAAAGGUAUCCUUUCCAUGGGGAAGAGGGGAAGAUAGCAAAAGGCAACUUUUCUCUGGAAGACCAGGGAAGAUAAAGAAAAGCAAUUUUUCCCGAGGACGGAGGACGGAGGAGUCACAUUCCCUGGAGAAGUUUUUAACCCAUUGUGUAGAGGUGUCACCACAGCAAAGCUAAAACUAAUAGUGUAUCUUCCAGCUGUGUGACUCCUAAAAUCAGUGAUGGUUUGUUUGUUUUUUGAGACAAAAUCUCACUAUACGGUUUAGGCUGGUCUUGAACUCAUAGUGAUCCACCUGCCUCAGUGCCAUGCCCAGUAAAAUUAGUGAUUGGGGGGUGGGUGUUUUUUGGGGAGGUUUUUUGGUACCAGGUACUGAACUCGGGACCUUGCCCUUUCGAGGCAGGCAGCAGAACCACUGAGCUAAAUUCCCAGCCGAUUUUUUUUU
rnacentral:lncRNA from 1 species